CACAUACUCCCUUCGUCCGAAAAUACUUGUCAUUGAAAUUGAUGUAUCUAGAUGUAUUUUAGUUGUAGAUACAUCCAUUUUCAUUCAUUUUGAUGACAAGUAAUGUCGGAUGGAGAAAGUACCAC
rfam:Triticum aestivum genome assembly, contig: Triticum_aestivum_CS42_TGACv1_scaffold_031311_1BL